rnacentral:rRNA from 1 species
GACAGAGGUUGCAAGCGUUGUUCGGAAUUACUGGGCAUAAAGCGCACGUAGGCGGUCCGCUAAGUCAUGUGUGAAAUCCCCCGGCUCAACCGGGGAAUGGCGCCUGGUACUGGCGGACUCGAGAUCGGUAGGGGUGAGUGGAACUCCAGGUGGAGCGGUGGAAAUGCGUAGAUAUCUGGAGGAACACCGGUGGCGAAAGCGACUCACUGGACCGACACUGACGCUGAGGUGCGAAAGCUAGGGUAGCAAACGGG